AUGAAGAACGCAGCGAAAUGCGAUAAGUAAUGUGAAUUGCAGAAUUCAGUGAAUCAUCGAAUCUUUGAACGCACCUUGCGCCCUUUGGCUAUUCCGAAGGGCAUGCCUGUUUGAGUAUCAUGAACACCUCAACUCUCAUGGCUUGCCAUGAUGAGCUUGGACUUUUGGGGGUCUUGCUGGCCUGUGGUCAGCUCCUCUCAAAUGAAUUAGCCUGCCAGUGUUUGGUGGCAUCACAGGUGUGAUAACUAUCUACGCUUGUGGUUUUCCACCAGGUAACCUUCAGUGAUGAAGGUUCGCUGGGGCUCAUAAACGUCUCUCCUCAGUGAGGACAGCUCUUUGAACGUUUGAUCUCAAAUCAGGUAGGACUACCCGCUGAACUUAAGCAUAUCAAUAAGCGGAGGA
rnacentral:misc_RNA from 1 species